GGCCUCCAUGAGUCCCAUUUUAAUAAGCUUCAUCUUGCUCUCUCGACCAAAAACCAAAAGAAACAAGAAAAAGAAAAGAAAAACACAUUUCUCUGAAGAAAAAAUCUUCAAAUUCAAGAAGUCAGAAGAGGGAAACUGAAGAGGUGUUUGUUGAGACAGACAAUGGAGCUUCUACCUUUUUCACUUUGUCUUCCAUGUGCAAGGUAAAAUUGUCUGUGGUUUCUCAAAACUCAAAAGAAAAGAAAGUACAAUCGACGGUUUGAGCUUUUUUUUGUAUGAAAAUUAUGAACCAUAACUUUUGGUUUUUAGUUUUUUUAUUCCUUCCGGUUUAUUGUGGUCGAGUAUCUUUCUGUAACGGGCCCUUGAGAGGGCUUAAUUAGAUCAAUUAAGUCCAUUAUCUAUGCUUUAUUGGGCUCCACUCUUUUGUAACAUUUUCUUUUUACAUCUAUUAACAUAUUUUUUUACGA